CUUGCUAGAGAUCCUUGUCUGCCUGGAGUAUUUCAAAGCCCCUACAGGAGAAGCUCAUUCCAAACAUCAUCAUUGGGGGACCCUUGCAUGUUCAGCUCUGGUGCUCAUAACAGUGGCUACAUGGGAGAUGCUUCCACAUCAAGAUCCUGGUUCAGAGCAGACUAGGAGCAAUGAAGAUCAUUCCCCCUAGCUUUAGAGAAAAGAGGGGGCAGAUCAUCCUCCACUGGGAGCCAAAGUUUUCUCUGGAAAUGGGGAAGGCUUUCAAAGAAGAUUCAUAUAUGCUUUCCUUUUGGCAGAAAUUGGAGCUAUCCAGAAAAGAAGUCAGGCAGGAACAUCCAUGUUUCAGGAAGUAGACAACACUGAAGAAUCUGACGUUUGUUAUUUUUGCUAACUUGAGCAGAAAUGGUUAACCACAAGGCUGUGUUCAAAGUAUGGGAAAUACACAUAAAUGAGCCUUGGAAACAACGUGCUUUUGAGCGAGGUAUUGCAUAUGCAAGUGAAGAUGGAGCUUUUGUCUGGCUGAACAACUAAAGACAAUUUUGGGAAGGUUUGUUUUAAUAUUAAAGUGAACUUGGACUGCAGUUUGAGACAAAACUCUUGGUGCACUAAAGUAUCAGAAUUAACUUUGCAGUAUGAUUGUUUGAUGUGCAAAGGAAGUACCCCUACCUGAAGUCCUGAAUGAGAAACAGGAAUUUGAUACUAAAGACAGUGAAGAAAAAUAUAAAGUGCUUUUUUAAAUAUAGACUUGAAGUAUAGCAGCGUUCAGAAUUAAUAUGCAGUAGCCUACAAGUAAUUCAGAUGUGGUUGCCCAGCACGGGAAAAAAAAGAGGGAGCUGUGUUAGAAUAUGCUGUUGGGAAGAAUAUGCAGACUUCAAGGAAAAAAUGAUGAAUGCAAGGUGACUGUCUGACUGAGUGCACAGAGGAUUGUUUGCUAGCACUCUUGGACUGUGCUGGAAUAAAAGAUGACCAGGUUAUUAGCUGCAAAUCUCAGCUGUUAGUUGAAUGCUGAUGUCACAUUAGUGUAGUGCUGGAAGCUCUAGAAGUACCUCAGAAGGAGAAGCAGCAGACAGUAAUACAUAACUAGGAAAUGAGGUUUGCAUGUUGGCCUUUUCCUCUGUUAAAGGACAACUAAGCAACAAACAGAAAAGAUGAUACCCACAAUACCACUGGGAAAAACUGCUCCUGUUAAAGUUAUCAUCACUUACACCUUUUCUUCUACAUCAGCUAUCCUUCCUCCAGAAGAGGCUCCAGGUAGUGUUCCAGAGACCUCUGACACAGAGGUUUCUGAGGGUGCCAUACUGGCUGCAUCAACCCCAUUUAUUUCCAUAUCCAUAAACUUUUCUGGGCACUGUAUGGCAGUUCUUCUCCACCAGUUGUCUCUAAACGUAGCUGAAUAACUCUACUUGAAUUUACCAUUCUUCUGGUCUAUAAUGUGUUAUGAAGCCACUUCAAGAGGUGUUUAUUAGAACAAGCAAGGACUAGGAGAUUGGCAUUAGGCAUGCUGACAUGCGUCAAAUGUGCUAUGAGGAAGUGCUGAGCUUUGCCUUUCCAGUUUUUCAUUUACUGAAUAUGCCGAAACUUUGCACAAGUCAUAAGUCAAAUAUAAAACAAUAUGAAAGCAUCUUUAGUUUGAGAGCUCUUGAAACAAAGCAGUGCGCUCUCUUAUUGAGAAAUGUUGUCUCAUGUCCCUGUGUGAAGUCUCUGUUCUUAGUUAUCAUUGCACUUAGUUGCACAUCUCCUGUCAAUAAGUGCAUUGUAGAGAUCUGAGGCUACUCAAUCAUGUUGAAAACUCAUCAACUUUGUCUAAUACUAAAAAUGCAGGUACUUUCCAGUAAUUAAAAUCAAUUCCAGAGUUUCCCAGCUCUCUUGCACAUAUCUUUUAAAUAGUGAAAACAGUAUCUAGCCCUCUAAUUACUCUAGAUAUAAUUUUUUUUAUGAUUCAGACAGGAAACUGCUGAAGUAAUUUCACUGCCUAGAGGAAAUAUAUUUCUUUAUGCGACUCUCUCUCAUUUAUUUAAACACUGUGCUACACAUGAUUAAAAAGGUGCUAAGGAACUUCUCUUGUGGAAUCUACAGUGUCUGGCAGUAAAAACAGGAGGACAUCAAAUAGUCUGUGCUGCCAGUGAGCACGGAGUUGGUAGGAAGAGAAGUGAUAUACCAAACACUCGCAUCAAGCUUUGUUUUGACAUCUGUGAAGACAAUAUUCCAAGAGACGUCAUCUGUUGAUCUUUUGGGUGCUAUUUAUCUAAAUUAAAUAAUUCCACUCUACCUCAUUGCAUACUCAAGUGCAAAAGGUAUUUGAGUGUCUUACUGUAUAGUAACAUAGCUGGUAAAUCUGAUAAUGCUAAGCAAUAGAUCAGAGUUUCUAAGUAUUCAAAUCUGGCUAGAUGUGACAUCUUCAUACCAAAACUUGUAUGUUCCCAGAGAUUAGAAAGCUUUCAAGUUUUCAUAGUUUUUUUUUUUUUUGUCCCAUCCAUUUGAGAAUUAGAAUUUAAUUUUUAAUAAUGGCAUGAUAACUAGACUUGGAUUAUGUUAUUAUAAAAGUUAAAGUUAUAAUAAAUCAUGGAAGCAGAGUAGCUUCAAGUUCAUUCUUUAAACUUUCUAAAAAUAAGACGUUACGUAUCUUGUAUAUAACACAUUUUUGAAGUUCCCCUAUAAGUAGUCUUCAAAAGGGUUUUCUGCCUCUUUUUUGCUCUUUUCUAUGCAGCAAAUGAUUUGCAAUUCUUUUUCUCUUCUUCAGCUUUGAAACAAAUGCAAUAGCGUCACAGCAUUUCCUUAUCACACACUGCUUCAAGAAUAGCAUUGUACUGUGAGGAGGGGGGGAAAUAACUUCUGGAAAAUUAUUUACUCUUGGUGCAUGAAUUCCAAAUUCAAGCAUCUUUUUCCAAGAGAAAAAAAAUAGGGGAUUCUGUCUAGAUAAACCUGUAUUUAGCAUUUGUACAGAUACUAAAGUAGUAAACUCAAAAAAAAAAAAAAAAAAAAAGAAAAAAUCCUUUCUAUAUUGUUUUUCUGUUCUGAAAUAAUAUGAAUGUUGUCCAUACUGCACUAGCUAUCAAAUUCUACAAGAAGACAUAACUUAUUCUUUUCUGUUGGCAAACAUGAAAUAACAUGUGGGUAGCUUACUAUGAAAACUUGUUUUCUGGUAUAGUUGGAAAUCUGUAGUUUUUAAAACUGGUGUUUAAAAGGUGGAAGAUAAAUAAAUGAAGGGUGAGUAAAUCAUAAUUGCUUUUGCUUUCUCUGUACUUCUGUAUGUUCUUUCUGGCAUGCAGCAUGCUAAUUUACUCCCCAUACUAGCUUCAGAAUGUCUCCAGCUCCCUCAGUCUGGUAUUCUGUGAAUCUCUCUGAAUUUAGUGAUACUUGUUCAAGUGUUAGGCCUUCUCUGCAUAGUUCAGAUGUUUAUGCUGUGCCUUUCCAUCACACCACUGUGGUUAGGAAGAGAGAUUGUGCUACAAGGGUCCACUACCUGACAUUAUAGUGUACCAGCAGCCACAUCAGUUUGUGGCAGUAGGAAAGUGAAUUUCAGCCCAUCCUCCCAGAUAAGCUAGCAAGUCAGAAGCUACCAGGGACUAAGGCAGCUAAGGCAAGUGCUCAAGCAAUGCAUGCACAGGAGGUUGUCUUUUUCUACUUGUAAAUCCUUCCAGCAAGGGAAGGGAUUAAACAAGUAAAGGAAACAAGUGCAGGAAAGGAAAUAAAAUUUAAAAAAAAAAAAAAAAAGCUUGAAGAGCUUCAUUACUGUGAAAAUCACCAUCAUGUUCUUUUUUGCUGUCAAGAAAACUUGGAAGAAAACAGCUUCAGGGCUGAGACUGGUGGUUUCCACUGCCCAGAAAUGUGUAAAAUGUGGAGUGUGCCUCAGCUUUUCCAUGAGAAUCAAGCAGAACUUUUACAUUUUUGACCAAAGCAAAUGUUGUUGCUGAAAUGUUUGUUUUGUUGACAUAUAUAUAGCUCAAGACACACAGAAAUUGAAAGCUGUGCAUCUAUUUUUGUGUACCUCUGUGCAAGUACCAAAAGAGUCUCUCAUACAAAUAUUGAUGCUUUUCAAGUAAAAUAGUUGAUACCUGCUCUAUUUUUUUUUUUUUUUUUUUUUGCUCCAAAAUGGUUCUAACCCAAGAUUUAGUGAAGUAAAUCCAUGCUUUCUGUCCUCCAGUUUUGUUCAUUUUUCUCUCCGUUUACCCACGGCCCUCAGCUCCCUUUUUUACUUCAGGCUAGUUGUUUUUGUGUGUUGUAUUUGCUGACUGCCCACCAAGAGCAGAAAGGGAGAAAAGAACUCUGAAUGACUGCUCCCAUGCUUGUGGCUGUGAACUGGGGAUUGCAUCUGUCUCAGAUUUGGAGAAACCCUGAGGAAGUCUGAGGCAGCAGUGCUUGCUGCAGAUUUGGCGCCUUCACAAACUGCUGUUAAUGAGGAAAAGAGACACUUCCACUUUAUAAGUGGGAAAUCCUUGCAUGUGAUGCUGCAUGUAGGACACAAAACUUGGAACAGCAGAUGGUAAAGUGAGAGUCACUAGGAGGGAUGUGUGACUAACAGGAAGGGAAAGCAUCGUCCAACACAGAGUGAGACAGACCAGUGGAAAUGCAGGAGUUCAGGCAAGAAGCCUUCUCCAAGCAUGGAAGUAAAAGCUGCUUCUCUGGAAAGAGAGAAAGAAACUUUGUUGUAUUUUUUUUGUGGGAAGAAAGAAAAGCAGAUGGAAAGGGUCUAAGGCAUCUAUGUUAGGAAUGGUGCCUGAAGCAUAAGAAGCUAAUAUUCAGUAACGGGGGGGGG